rnacentral:rRNA from 1 species
GAUGAACGCUAGCGGCAGGCUUAAUACAUGCAAGUCGUGGGGCAGCAGCUCUGUAGCAAUACAGAGGCUGGCGACCGGCAAACGGGUGCGGAACACGUACGCAACUUACCCAUAACUGGUGAAUAGCCCUCCGAAAGGAGGAUUAAUACAUCGUAACAUAAUGAGAUGGCAUCAUUUUAUUAUUAUAGCUCCGGCGGUUAUGGAUGGGCGUGCGGCNGAUUAGGUAGUUGGCGGAGUAAUAGCCCACCAAGCCUACGAUCAGUAACUGGUGUGAGAGCACGACCAGUCACACGGGCACUGAGACACGGGCCCGACUCCUACGGGAGGCAGCAGUAAGGAAUAUUUGGUCAAUGGACGCAAGUCUGAACCA